rnacentral:tRNA from 1 species
GGUUCUGUGGUGGAGUGAUUAACACGCCUCCCUGUCACGGAGGAGAUCGCGAGUUUGAUUCUCGUCAGGACCGCCA